AGAGAUAAACUUCACAAGGAGACUAUGCAGCUUGCUAGGAACAAUUUGGAUAAAGAACCACAAAUAAUAGAGCUAAGGAACCAGGUGAAAUUUUCUGAACCACUUGGCGGCAGCUCAGGAAAAACUAAACGAGCUCGAGAGACAGAAAGAAGAAACUCUGAAGUUCUACUCCCCUGCAUCGUUAUGCAUAGGCUUCAAGAUGCAAUGAAUGCAACAGAAGAGGAAUCGUAAAUAGUGAACAUGCAGCUUCUUUACGGGGAAAUAGAUAUCGGGGCCUUUG